UAUAAGUUGGACCAUACAGCAUUUGUCUUGUGACUGGCUUAUUUCACUUAGCAUAAUGUCCUCGAGCUUCAUUCAUGUUGUCAGGUGUCAGAAUGUCCUUCUUUUCAAGGCUGAAUAACAUUUUAUUGUAUGUAUAUAUCGCAUUUGCUUAUCCAUUCAUUCAUCAAGGAACAUGAGUUGCUUCUACAUUUUGGCCAUUGUGAAUAAUGCUGCUCUGAACAUGGGUGUAUAAAUAUCUCUU
rnacentral:lncRNA from 1 species